rnacentral:lncRNA from 1 species
GAUAAAGAGGUCAGGUUUGGAGUGUGCAGAGAAGGUUCCCUUCACACACUUUUUUGACAAAUGAAUGACUCUGGACAAGUUACUCCUGAUGCCUCAAUGUCUGUAGAAAUGUAAAAACCGGCAAAUCUAUGUUUAUCUUCUAGAGCAAAGAAUGAUUUAAAAUUAAAGCUUCAUUCCUGGGGCCUGGAUAUUCUUAAGUAAAGGGCACAAGCUUCAAGACUUUUUCAUAUAUUCUGAUUUGGAGAUUACUUCUCUGGUGCUUAAAGUUCACAUUAACAUACGCUAGACAUGAAGAAGUAUAUAUUACCUGCCUCAAAGCCACAGAUCAAAUAUCCCAGGAUGGAGACUCUUUCCCUGGAAGGACUGGGUACCCUAUGAACUUAGUGCUCUGUAGAGCCACAAGGUUUUUAAUGGUUUUCUUCUGUGUGCAGUACAAUGAUCCCAAGGGGACUAGACUACACCCGGAGGAUGACACUGCCAUGAAAGAAGGAUAUGUUUUACCACAGGG